GCCAGGGUGGCAUAAUGGUUGGUGUACUGGACUACUACUCUGGAGAUGAGGGUUUGAUUUCCUACUCAGUUU